rnacentral:rRNA from 1 species
UGCCUACGGGGGGCAGCAGUGGGGAAUAUUGCACAAUGGGGGAAACCCUGAUGCAGCGACGCCGCGUGAGUGAAGAAGUAAUUCGUUAUGUAAAGCUCUAUCAGCAGGGAAGAAAAUGACGGUACCUGAGUAAGAAGCCCCGGCUAACUACGUGCCAGCAGCCGCGGUAAUACGUAGGGGGCAAGCGUUAUCCGGAUUUACUGGGUGUAAAGGGAGCGUAGACGGCAGUGCAGGUCUGGAGUGAAAGGCG